rnacentral:rRNA from 1 species
CCCUUAGAUGUUCUGGGCUGCACGCGCGCUACACUGAUGCGAUCAACAAGUUUUUCCUAUGUCGAUAGACACGAGUAAUCUUUUGAACUCGCAUCGUGAUGGGGAUAGAUUAUUGUAAUUAUUAAUCUUCAACGAGGAAUUCCUAGUAGGUGCAAAUCAUCAGUUUGCAUCGAUUACGUCCCUGCCCUUUGUACACACCGCCCGUCGCUGCUACCGAUUGGUUGAUCUGGUGAAUUAUUCGGACUGCCGGCUGAAGGGGUUUCCUCAUCUGCCAGCGGAAAGUCUUGUUAACCCUAUCAACUAGAGGAAGCAGAAGUCGUAACA